rnacentral:pre_miRNA from 1 species
UUUGCACUCCCUCCGUCCCAAAAUUCUUGUCUUAAAUUUGUCUAAAUACGGAUGUAUCUAGUUACAUUUUAGUGUUAGAUACAUCCAUAUCUAAACAAAUGUAAGACAAGAAUUUUGGGACGGAGGGAAUACUAC